UACGAAGGGGGCUAGCGUUGCUCGGAAUCACUGGGCGUAAAGGGUGCGUAGGUGGGCUUGUAAGUCAGUGGUGAAAUCUCCGGGCUUAACCCGGAAACUGCCAUUGAUACUAUAGGUCUUGAAUCAUCUGGAGGUGAGCGGAAUAUGUCAUGUAGCGGUGAAAUGCUUAGAUAUGACAUAGAACACCGAUUGCGAAGGCAGCUCACUACGGAUGUAUUGACACUGAGGCACGAAAAGCGUGGGGAUCAAACAGG
rnacentral:rRNA from 1 species